rnacentral:rRNA from 1 species
UAGAUGCGAGAGUAGAGCAUAUCAAUAAGCGGAGGAAAAGAAACUAACAAGGAUUCCCUUAGUAACGGCGAGUGAAGCGAGAAGAGCUCAAAUUUGAAAUCUUCAAGGUUCUACCUUGACGAAUUGUAGUUUAAAGAAGUGUUUUCUGUUAGAUGAGUAGCAAAAGUUCCUUGGAAUGGGACAUCAUAGAGGGUGAGAAUCCCGUAUUUGGUUAUUCAUUCUAGCUUUGUGAUACACUUUCAAAGAGUCGGAUUGUUUGGGAAUGCAGUCCAAAAUGGGUGGUAAAUUUCAUCUAAAGCUAAAUAUUGGCGAGAGACCGAUAGCGAACAAGUACCGUGAGGGAAAGAUGAAAAGAACUUUGAAAAGAGAGUUAAACAGUACGUGAAAUUGUCAAAAGGGAAGCGUUUGACACCAGUGUUGUUUUUCCGAAAAUCAAUUACGAAUGGCUUGAUUUUGUGUUGUAUUGACCUUAUCAGCUUUCUUCACUUUUUUCGAGUCUUUCUUAAUGCACUUUUCGGUUAACAAGUCAACAUCAAUUUCUUUUGUUGUAAAAGAGUAUUCGGAAGGUGGCUUUCUUUUCGGAGAAAGUGUUUAUAGCCCUAUACUUCUACAAUCGGAGAGAUUGAGGUCUGCAGCGUAGAUCCUUCGGGGUUAGAUACAUUUGUGCUAAGUUGUAGCUUUUCAUAGACAACUUGUUGACUAUGUUUAGUCAUGCGGCUUACUCGCUUAUGCUAUUUUACCUACGCUUAGGAUGUUGAGCGCAUGUCUCUCUCU